AAUAAGAAUAUGCUUACCGUAGACAGUAGGUGCGCAAGCUUAAUUUCCUACCGAGGUGUUGUGAUAGAACGUCAAUAUGGCAGUUUUACUGCGUGUGAUGUAUAUCGAGCCUUCGUGAUUCUACGGAGGCUUUUUUUAGU
rnacentral:sRNA from 1 species